UACGGAGGGGGCUAGCGUUGUUCGGAAUUACUGGGCGUAAAGGGCGCGUAGGCGGCCUGGCAAGUGGAAGGUGAAAUCCCUCGGCUUAACCGAGGAACUGCCCUCCAAACUGCUUGGCUUGAGUCCGGGAGAGGUGAGUGGAAUUCCCAGUGUAGCGGUGAAAUGCGUAGAUAUUGGGAGGAACACCAGUGGCGAAGGCGGCUCACUGGACCGGAACUGACGCUGAGGCGCGAAAGCGUGGGGAGCAAACGGG
rnacentral:rRNA from 1 species